UUUCUUAUCUUUGCAAUUGUAUUGCAGUUCUACAGACUCUGUUAUCUUAUAACUGCUUUAUAGAUCCUACGGAAGGAACAUAAAGCAAGUGCCAGGAGAAAAAGAAUUUCCCUACUUUUGUACAUCCACGUAGAUGCGUAUAAGCGUUAACAUGAACCACUGCCAGGAGGAGCAAGAGCAGCUUCUGAGAACACUCUGUGAACCUCAUGGAGGGGAACAGAGCUUCCAGAGCCCACAGAAGAUGCUCAUGAGGAGACAAUACAAGGUGCAAGUCUAUACAUGGACUCUGAAACUGACUGAAUAUCAUUCUGGUUGUUCAUUGGGAAGGACACAAUUAAUCUACAGUAGGG